rnacentral:rRNA from 1 species
AAGCACACCGCCUGGGGAGUACGGCCGCAAGGCUAAAACUCAAAGGAAUAGACGGGGACCCGCACAAGCGGUGGAACAUGUGGGUUAAUUCGACGAUAAGCGGAGAACCUUACCAAGGUUUGACAUCUAGCUGCAAAUCUCGGGAAACCGAGACUCUUUCGAAGGUGCUAGACAGGUGCUGCAUGGUUGCCGUCAGCUCGUGCCGUGAGGUGUACCCUUAAGUGGGGUAACGAGCGCAACCCCUAUGUUAUGUUGCAAUUUCAUAACAGACUGCCCGGGUCAACCGGGAGGAAGGUGGGGAUGACGUCAAAUCAGCAUGGCCCUUACACCUUGGGCUCCACACGUGUUACAAUGGCCGGUACAAUGGGUUGCCAAGUCGCAAGACGGAGCUAAUCCCACCAAAGCCGGUCUCAGUUCGGAUUGAGGGCUGCAACUCGCCCUCAUGAAGCCGGAAUCGCUAGUAAACGCAGGUCAGCCACACUGCGUUGAAUACGUUCUCGGGUCUUGUACUCACCGCCCGUCAAGCGAGGGAAGUUGGUAGUACCUGAAGGAACGCUUUGGCGUUCCCCAGGAAACAGCUAUGACCAGCGUUAAGUCGUAACAAGGUA